CGCAGCCCCGGACCAAGGCGCCCGCCGGAGGACCAACCAAAACUCUUAUUGUAUACCCCCUCGCGGGUUUUUUUAUAAUCUGAGCCUUCUCGGCGCCUCUCGUAGGCGUUUCGAAAAUGAAUCAAAACUUUCAACAACGGAUCUCUUGGUUCUGGCAUCGAUGAAGAACGCAGCGAAAUGCGAUAAGUAAUGUGAAUUGCAGAAUUCAGUGAAUCAUCGAAUCUUUGAACGCACAUUGCGCCCGCCAGUAUUCUGGCGGGCAUGCCUGUCCGAGCGUCAUUUCAACCCUCGAACCCCUCCGGGGGGUCGGCGUUGGGGAUCGGCCCUGCCUCUUGGCGGCGGCCGUCUCCGAAAUACAGUGGCGGUCUCGCCGCAGCCUCUCCUGCGCAGUAGUUUGCACACUCGCAUCGGGAGC
rnacentral:rRNA from 1 species